rnacentral:rRNA from 1 species
CGGACGGGUGAGUAACGCGUGAGCAAUCUGCCUUUAGGAGGGGGAUAACAGUCGGAAACGGCUGCUAAUACCGCAUAAUACGUUUGGGAGGCAUCUCUUGAACGUCAAAGAUUUUAUCGCCUUUAGAUGAGCUCGCGUCUGAUUAGCUGGUUGGCGGGGUAACGGCCCACCAAGGCGACGAUCAGUAGCCGGACUGAGAGGGUGACCGGCCACAUUGGGACUGAGACACGGCCCAA